ensembl:lncRNA
GGGAGUUUCCUGAUUUUUAAAGACCCCAGAUGCGCGCACACACACACACACACACACAUUGACAAAAAACACGAUGAGGCUGCCUCUGCCUGAUACCCCCCCCCCCCGCCCCCCUAUCCUUUUUUCUGAAUGGGUGUCCUCUUUUUAACCUCUCAUUGAGGCAAGUGUAACAGGACACUGCCCUCCGUCGCCACAAGCUCAGCCCCUUGUAGGAGAAUAUAAGAAGGCAGAGACUCGGCUCAGAGUGUGUGUGAGAGACUGUGUGUGAGAGAGAGUACGUAUAAGAGAGUGUGUGUGUGUGUGUGUGUGUGUGAGAGAGAGACAGAGUGUGUGUCUGACUGCGUCAGAGGGGCUGCGGAACAGGGGGAACAGGGGAGCCAGAGAGGGAUAGAAAGCCAGCGAGGAAGGAAGAGAGAGACAAAUGUUGAGGCGGACAGAGGGGACAAAAGGAGAAAGUCAGCUUCGUGGUGCUUUGUAACAUGGGUUUGUAGUGUCUUUCGGUAGGGCUUAGCUGUGAGAGCGAGUCGGCAACGGUGUCUCCAGUAUGCUGGGAAACCACCUUUAGACCAGAGAGAGAGAAGGGAGAGAGAGAGAGAGAGAGAAUGUGUGUGCUGGCUUCACCACAGCGCUGUCACUUUAAGCCUGUUACUGAUUACACUCAGAAGAAUGCAACCAGAGGAGUAGAAGACAGACACACAAAGUGGAGAGAGACGUGUAAGGACGGAUUCUGAAAAGUCUGGUUUAGUUUAGUUUCAGAGAAACGGUAAAGCUUUGGAGGAGUUAGAGAGACAAUACUCUCUCUUUUUCUCAGAGAGAAGCCAACUGAAGGGGAACCCCAGAAUAUCUGAGAGGGGGAGGGGGUAACAGACAGAGUGAAAGAAAGAGAAAUAAAAGGAGAGAAAUGGAGAGAAAGGGAGAGGGGGACCCCUCAAGUCUGCUGAGAAGCUCCCAGUCGUCAGGAGGAAAUGAUCAGAGAGGAAUGAAGACCACAACUACGAAGAUGGGGACUAUUCCAAGCAGCAGAACAGUUAACAUGGAUCCUUCAUCCGUAUCAAAGAGGACGGCCCUCGUCCAUCUUCCGGCCCCCUCCCACUCCGUCUGAUGUGCGUGUCGAUCAGUUGCUCAGUAGGCAGUGUAGAUCCUGUGUGAUCAUCAGCAGCUACAUCUGGCUACUGGGUCUCUGAAGACACGCCACUGCCCAAUUACCACUUCCUGCAGGAUUGGAGCCACCUCCUUUGCCCAUUGAUUGGCUAAUUGCACGUUACAUUCCCCUCUGAUUGGAUGAUAUGUUAUCAUGGAGCAGGGUGGGGGGAGGGGGCAUUACUUGUCAAGGCUUUAUUUUCUGCUUUUCCUCUUUUGUUUAUUUCUUUCAGUGUCUUUUUUCUUUUUCAUUUCUUAUUUUUCUUUACUAAACUUUUUUAGCGCGGCUGGCAAAAGCCAUUCAAACGGUUCUUGGUGUUCUUCUCAGAAUUGUUCUGUUCUCUAAAGAUGUUGACUGUCAGCUCACAAAAGAGAUUGACAAGAGCAGAAAAAAGCAAGCUUGAGUGGAAGGAGAUGUCAGACAUGUCAAGCACAAUAGUACAGAGCCUUUUACAGGGGGAAACAUUGUUUAGGCUGCAAUGCCAUCAGUUUGCCUAGAAAUCUCUCCUUAGAGAGCCGACAUGAUGAAAUGUCACAUUCAUUUUGUGUGUGUGUGUGUGUGUGUGUGUGCGUCUGUGUGACAAGACAUGCUGGCUUGGUCCUGGACCUAGCAUACAGUGUAAUUUCUGUGUGGUUUAAACAACAGCUACAUUGUCUGCUGGGUUUCAGGCUGGUGACAAAGGCACCGUUCAACACCUAAAUGAUCAAAUUAAUCAAUUACUCAACUAUUCAGCUCAAUGAGGUAAGUUGACAGCCGUGCUACCACGCUGUGUCACAUCAGGCAAACACGUCAGUAUUGAAGAACUUUUAAUAAAGUGAUCAAGUAUUCUUCCAAAGUGGCAUGAGUUAUUUUUCAUUGUGUGAAAUGGUCUUAUUGGAGAUGUCACAUUGGUAAUGUGUUUGGCCUGACAAUGCCAGUGAGCAGAAGCCCAAAC